rnacentral:lncRNA from 1 species
UAUUCGGUGUUCUCUGUGGCUGGGUUCCAGAAAGUUUGGUGAAUGGGAGUGGUUGGUAGGGUUUUGGGGUCUCUAAUGGUUGAAGAAGGAAGACGAUCUCUGAUUGAGGGAGGGGGAGAGGGAGUCGUGUUUAUGGCUGUUGUGUUCGGUCUUGGAGUUCUAAGGUUCUUGUUGUUUUUUCAUGAAAAGAAGCUAUGAAGAAGAAGCUAAGUUUUCUCGGGAUUUGAAGAAGACCUAGGCGUUAGUCUAGGAUCCCCUUUUCAGGUGUUAGAGUAGGC